rnacentral:rRNA from 1 species
UACGAAGGGUGCUAGCGUUGUUCGGAAUCACUGGGCGUAAAGCGCGCGUAGGCGGCUUUUCAAGUCAGGGGUGAAAUCCCACAGCUUAACUGUGGAACUGCCUUUGAAACUGGAAAGCUGGAGUGUCGGAGGGGAUAGCGGAAUUGCUAAUGUAGAGGUGAAAUUCGUAGAUAUUAGCAGGAACACCGGUGGCGAAGGCGGCUAUCUGGACGACAACUGACGCUGAGGUACGAAAGCGUGGGGAGCAAACAGG